UACACUCCUACGGGAGGCAGCAGUGGGGAAUUUUGGACAAUGGGCGAAAGCCUGAUCCAGCAAUGCCGCGUGUGUGAAGAAGGCCUUCGGGUUGUAAAGCACUUUUGUCCGGAAAGAAAUCCUUGGCUCUAAUACAGUCGGGGGAUGACGGUACCGGAAGAAUAAGCACCGGCUAACUACGUGCCAGCAGCCGCGGUAAUACGUAGGGUGCGAGCGUUAAUCGGAAUUACUGGGCGUAAAGCGUGCGCAGGCGGUUUGCUAAGACCGAUGUGAAAUCCCCGGGCUCAACCUGGGAACUGCAUUGGUGACUGGCAGGCUAGAGUAUGGCAGAGGGGGGUAGAAUUCCACGUGUAGCAGUGAAAUGCGUAGAGAUGUGGAGGAAUACCGAUGGCGAAGGCAGCCCCCUGGGCCAAUACUGACGCUCAUGCACGAAAGCGUGGGGAGCAAACAGGAUUAGAAACCCGUGUAGUCCC
rnacentral:rRNA from 1 species